UUUUGCCUACGGGGGGCAGCAGUGGGGAAUAUUGCACAAUGGGCGCAAGCCUGAUGCAGCGACGCCGCGUGCGGGAUGGAGGCCUUCGUGUUGUAAACCGCUUUUGUUCAAGGGCAAGGCCCGGUCUUUGGCCGUGUUGAGUGGAUUGUUCGAAUAAGCACCGGCUAACUACGUGCCAGCAGCCGCGGUAAUACGUAGGGUGCAAGCAUUAUCCGGAUUUAUUGGUCGUAAAGUGCUCGUAGGCG
rnacentral:rRNA from 1 species